rnacentral:rRNA from 1 species
UACGUAGGAUCCAAGCGUUGUCCGGAUUUACUGGGUGUAAAGGGUGCGCAGGCGGACUGGUAAGUCAGUGGUGAAAUCUCACAGCUCAACUGUGAAACUGCCUCUGGGACUGCCAGUCUUGAAUCAGCGAGAGAGUUGUGGAAUUCCGAGUGUAGCAGUGAAAUGUGUAGAUAUUCGGAAGAACACCAGUGGCGAAGGCAGCAACUUGGCGCUCGAUUGACGCUCAGGCACGAAAGCAUGGGGAUCAAACAGG